rnacentral:tRNA from 1 species
GCCGCCUUAGCUCAGUCGGUAGAGCAACGCACUCGUAAUGCGUAGGUCGUCGGUUCGAUUCCGACAGGCGGCU